rnacentral:rRNA from 1 species
UUGUGCCUCGGAACCGUGAGACAGGUGCUGCAUGGCUGUCGUCAGCUCGUGUUGUGAGAUGUUGGGUUAAGUCCCGCAACGAGCGCAACCCCCUAUCCUUAGUUGCCAGCGGGUAAUGCCGGGAACUCUAGGGAGACUGCCGGUGAUAAACCGGAGGAAGGUGGGGACGACGUCAAGUCAUCAUGGCCCUUACGGGAUGGGCUACACACGUGCUACAAUGGCGCAUACAAAGGGCAGCAAACCUGCGAGGGUAAGCGAAUCUCAUAAAGUGCGUCGUAGUCCGGAUUGGAGUCUGCAACUCGACUCCAUGAAGUCGGAAUCGCUAGUAAUCGUGAAUCAGAAUGUCACGGUGAAUACGUUCCCGGGCCUU